UACGUAGGGGGCAAGCGUUGUCCGGAAUCAUUGGGCGUAAAGGGUGCGUAGGUGGCGCUGUAAGUCGGGUGUGAAAUUUCGGAGCUUAACUCCGAAACUGCAUUCGAUACUGCGGUGCUUGAGGACUGGAGAGGAGACUGGAAUUCAUGGUGUAGCAGUGAAAUGCGUAGAGAUCAUGAGGAAGACCAGUGGCGAAGGCGGGUCUCUGGACAGUUCCUGACACUGAGGCACGAAGGCCAGGGGAGCAAACGGG
rnacentral:rRNA from 1 species